CAGUAGCCGCGGUAAUACGAAGGGUGCAAGCGUUACUCGGAAUUACUGGGCGUAAAGCGUGCGUAGGUGGUGGUUUAAGUCCGUUGUGAAAGCCCUGGGCUCAACCUGGGAAUUGCAGUGGAUACUGGGUCACUAGGGUGUGGUAGAGGAUAGUGGAAUUUCCGGUGUAGCAGUGAAAUGCGUAGAGAUCGGAAGGAACAUCUGUGGCGAAGGCGACUAUCUGGGCCAACACUGACACUGAGGCACGAAAGCGUGGGGAGCAAACAGGAUUAGAUACCCCCGUAGUCCCUGUCUCUUAUAC
rnacentral:rRNA from 1 species